UACGUAGGGACCAAGCGUUGUUCGGAUUUACUGGGCGUAAAGGGCGCGUAGGCGGCGCGGUAAGUCACUUGUGAAGUCUCUGAGCUUAACUCAGAACGGCCAAGUGAUACUGCAGUGCUAGAGUGUGGAAGGGGCAAUCGGAAUUCUUGGUGUAGCGGUGAAAUGCGUAGAUAUCAAGAGGAACACCUGAGGUGAAGACGGGUUGCUGGGCUGACACUGACGCUGAGGCGCGAAAGCCAGGGGAGCAAACGGG
rnacentral:rRNA from 1 species